rnacentral:SRP_RNA from 2 species
GCCGAGCUCGGUUGUGCGGGCUUGUAACCCAAGUGGGGGCAUUAAGGUGGUGUGGAUGUUUGGUGCAGACUCUGGGCUUGGGUCUGUGGUGUGCCCUUGCUAGCCCUGCCCGUCCCAAGUUGGUAGUGGCCUGUUCGGCCCUAGCAAAAGUUCGGUCUUCACCGAACCUGAAGUGGUAGGAACGGUGGAGGCUGGCUUCACGGAGCAGCGACACUGCCCGCUUUCAAUGGUGGAGGAUAACAGAUAGCUACAUCAUGGGUCCGACCUGGACCUCGAGGAGCCGGCGGUGAGGAUCG